AGAGUUUGAUUCUGGCUCAGGACGAACGCUGGCGGCGUGCCUAAUACAUGCAAGUCGAGCGAGCUGAACCAGCAGAUUCACUUCGGUGAUGACGCUGGGAACGCGAGCGGCGGAUGGGUGAGUAACACGUGGGUAACCUGCCCUAAAGUCUGGGAUACCACUUGGAAACAGGUGCUAAUACCGGAUAACAACAAUAGCUGCAUGGCUAUUGCUUAAAAGGCGGCGAAAGCUGUCGCUAAAGGAUGGACCCGCGGUGCAUUAGCUAGUUGGUAAGGUAAUGGCUUACCAAGGCGACGAUGCAUAGCCGAGUUGAGAGACUGAUCGGCCACAUUGGGACUGAGACACGGCCCAAACUCCUACGGGAGGCAGCAGUAGGGAAUCUUCCACAAUGGGCGAAAGCCUGAUGGAGCAACGCCGCGUGAGUGAAGAAGGUUUUCGGAUCGUAAAGCUCUGUUGUUGGUGAAGAAGGAUAGAGGUAGUAACUGGCCCCUAUUUGACGGUAAUCAACCAGAAAGUCACGGCUAACUACGUGCCAGCAGCCGCGGUAAUACGUAGGUGGCAAGCGUUGUCCGGAUUUAUUGGGCGUAAAGCGAGCGC
rnacentral:rRNA from 1 species